rnacentral:RNase_P_RNA from 1 species
AAAGUUCUUUAUUCUAUCGCGGCUGCUGCAAAGCAGAUGAGGAAAGUCGGGGCAACACAGGGCGCCAUACUUCCUAACGGGAAGGUCUCGUUUUUAACGAGAACAGACAGUGCAACAGAAAGCAAACCACCUGGUAUUUAUUUGCUGGGAAAGGGUGAAACCGUGAGGUAAGAGCUCACGCCUGUUAUGGGUGACCAUAGCUUGAGGUAAACCUUAUGGGUUGAAAGACCAAAUAAACCGAGGAUUUUUCCCGUGUGGAAAAGAGAGGUCGGCCCGGCCAAGCUCGGAGGGUAGGUUGAUGGAGGUGUUGAGCAAUCAACAUCCUAGAUAAAUGAUAGAAAUAAGCUUUUGCUUAUAACAGAACCCCGCUUAUUAAAGAGCUUUUAUU